rnacentral:rRNA from 1 species
UACUGACACUGAGGAACGAAAGCAUGGGUAGCGAAGAGGAUUAGAUACCCUCGUAGUCCAUGCCGUAAACGAUGUGUGUUAGACGUUGGAAAUUUAUUUUUCAGUGUCGCAGCAAAAGCAGUAAACACACCGCCUGGGGAGUACGACCGCAAGGUUAAAACUCAAAUGAAUUGACGGGGACCCGCACAAGUAGUGGAGCAUGUGGUUUAAUUCGAAGAUACGCGCAGAACCUUACCAACACUUGACAUGUUCGUCGCGACUUUAAGAGAUUAAAGUUUUCGGUUCGGCCGGACGAAACACAGGUGCUGCAUGGCUGUCGUCAGCUCGUGUCGUGAGAUGUUGGGUUAAGUCCCGCAACGAGCGCAACCCUCACUUUUAGUUGCCAUCAUUUAGUUGGGCACUCUGAAAGAACUGCCAGUGAUAAGCUGGAGGAAGGUGGGGAUGACGUCAAGUCCUCAUGGCCCUUACGUGUUGGGCUACACACGUGCUACAAUGGCAUUUACAAUAGGAAGCAAGAUGGCGACGUCAAGCAAAUCCUAAAAAGAUGCCUCAGUUCGGAUUGUACUCUGCAACUCGAGUACAUGAAGCUGGAAUUACUAGUAAUCGCGGAUCAGCGCGCCGCGGUGAAUACGUUCCCGGGUCUUGUACACACCGCCCGUCACACCAUGGGAGUUGGUUCUACCUUAAGGCAAAGCUUAAAACCUUUGACCACGGUAUAGUCAGCGACUGGGGUGAAGUCGUAACAAGGUAGCCGUAGGGGAACCUGCGGCUG